rnacentral:piRNA from 1 species
UCCCAAAGCUUCUCUAGUGUUUCAGGG